ensembl:snoRNA small nucleolar RNA SNORA38
GCCUCCCAACAAAGGCGUGCCUAUUAUAUUCUGUGAGUGGGCACGUAAGAAAUGGAGGCAGAUAAAAUGGACUGGCGACAUUGCACAAAAUAGACAACUUCUCUUUGCUAUUUGUAGAUCUCCCGUCCUACAUGU